GUCACUGCAGCCUCGGAUUUGGACCUCAGAGGAGGGCAGCCAGUCUGCCGGGGAGGGACACAGAGGCCUUGUUAUAAAGUCAUUUACUUCCAUGAUACUUCUCGAAGACUGAACUUUGAGGAAGCCAAAGAAGCCUGCAGGAGGGACGGAGGCCAGCUAGUCAGCAUCGAGUCUGAAGAUGAACAGAAACUGAUAGAAAAGUUCAUUGAAAACCUCUUGCCAUCUGAUGGUGACUUCUGGAUUGGGCUCAGGAGGCGUGAGGAGAAACAAAGCAAUAGCACAGCCUGCCAGGACCUUUAUGCUUGGACUGAUGGCAGCAUAUCACAAUUUAGGAACUGGUAUGUGGAUGAGCCGUCCUGCGGCAGCGAGGUCUGCGUGGUCAUGUACCAUCAGCCAUCGGCACCCGCUGGCAUCGGAGGCCCCUACAUGUUCCGGUGGAAUGAUGACCGGUGCAACAUAAAGAACAAUUUCAUUUGCAAAUAUUCUGAUGUCCAAUCAGAGACCAAAGAACAAGGGAACAAGGAAGCCCCAUUGAAACAGUUUAUAGACCUCAACCUCCCAAGGCACAGAGGAC
rnacentral:sRNA from 1 species